ensembl:lncRNA
GCAGAGUUACAAAAUACAAAUUCACAAAGUGAAACCAAAGCAAAACCAAAAGUUAACAACUAGGGGGUUUCCCGGGGUUUCUUGCCCAGCAAAGGAAAGAGGCAGACAAGACACCAACAGCAGCAGCCCUCCUUCUGUCAUCUUCUGUCUCGAGUUCAGGCGAUCUGCAACUGUACAGUGUUUGUUAGAGAACAACAGAGGAAUCAAGAGAAGGAGGAAGAGAAGAAGAAAAGCAGGAAGGGAGAAAAGAAAUAAUGAAGCGCUGCCACCAUGUGAGCAACUUCCCUCAGCCAAGACCCACCCUUCCUUGGAGCUCCCCACCUUAGGCUGAAAACGUGAGCCAGCCACCAGCUUCCUGUCUUCAGCCUGCUAAUGCCUGACUUUCUGCCUCACAUCAUGACGGUGUCACUCACUCUCCUCAAAUAUUAUUCUCCAGUGUGAAAAACCACAGCCAACUUAUACUUGGUGGUGUGGAUCUUCCCGGAGCCCCUGCAGCAUUUCUGAAGGUAUAUAUUGAAAGUUCCAAUUU